GAUGAAGAACGCAGCGAAAUGCGAAAAGUAGUGUGAAUUGCAGAAUUCAGUGAAUCAUCGAAUCUUUGAACGCACAUUGCGCCCGCCAGCAUUCUGGCGGGCAUGCCUGUUCGAGCGUCAUUUCAACCCUCGAGCCCCCCCGGGGGCCUCGGUGUUGGGGGACGGCACACCAGCCGCCCCCGAAAUGCAGUGGCGACCCCGCCGCAGCCUCCCCUGCGUAGUAGCACACACCUCGCACCGGAGCGCGGAGGCGGUCACGCCGUAAAACGCCCAACUUUCUUAGAGUUGACCUCGGAUCAGGUAGGAAUACCCGCUGAACUUAAGCAUAUCAAUAAGCGGAGGA
rnacentral:misc_RNA from 1 species